UUCCUCCCAGAGCGAGAGCGCGAGAAGCCUGAGGAGUCCUUCCCAAACUGAGAGGAACCAGGGGCACAAAGUCAGGUCAGCACUUUGUGCGUGGAAUCCGAUUCCCUCGGCAUGACGAUAACCGUGGCAGCCGUUGGCGUAUUGAAGCCAGGCCGCUUCUUCGGACCAUCCGGGGGACUUCCCUUAAUGUUGCGUUUGCCUGUUCAGCGAAGGCUUUCUGCAGGCAGCCUCGCUGGCGGUGAGCGUUCUCCCCUUGCUACGCGAGCGUGGAGCAGCACUGUUGUGCAAGCACAAGGAGGUGUGUGUGGGGGGCUGACUUCAGCAAUAAAAUGACUCCCCGCAAUCUGGGGCUGGGUUUCUUGUGGUCGCUGCGAGGGCAACCCAGCCUGUCGCCCUCCCCUUCCCCCUGCCCAGCCUCCUGGGAGCCCGUCACAGAGUUCUUCCUCUGACCCAGCUCCAGCUGAAGCGUUGCUGACCUGUGUGUUGUGGUACCUAGCCAGCUCUGUGACUGGCUGCUUAUGGUAAAGACACAAUAUGGCUAUUCUGCUUAGAAAAAUAAUAGGAAAUUUGAGGUUUUUAACUUCUUUGACUGCGUUUUUAAUGCUAUCUCCAAAAUAAUUUCAACUUCUUGAGUUAAAAAGUUACUGCAGCAGAGGAGGAACACGUACUUUCACUUUAUUUUUGUCCUCAGCAAAAUGAAGGUGAGAAAAGAAGCGGUGAAAGCAAAUAUUUUGAUCUUUAACUGGUUAGACAAUUGAACUUUUAUGUCUGUAAAUGUUUUCACAACAUCAGCAACAAGUAAACAUUUUUACUGUCACCUAUUUUACUUGUGAAUGCAGCAAGAAUCUAUCUGGUUUUUACAUGCCUUCUGUACUGAUACUGGCUUUAAUUUUAGUAUAAACUAGACUGGUCUCAUCUAGAGAAAAAACAAUGUAGAGAAAAUCAAAAUUCCCCAGAAAGUCAACUUUUCAUUAAUUGAAGUCUUCUGUGGACGAUUCCAUACUAAAUGUGAUGCUUAGACAGUAAAGUUACAUCUUGAAGGAUAAAAUAAUGUUUUCUUUUUGCUCUAAAUCUUAAAACUCAAUCAAGUGCUUAGAAGUUGACAGUGGGCAUAGUUGGUAUUUGCCUGGACAACUCCUUCAGUUUUAAUUUGCUUUUUGGACAGGUAGAGUACACCGCAGGCAUGCCUGGACAUUUGGCCCUUCUGAGCAGUUUGUCAUUGAGGAGGCAGAUAACUAAACUGUAAACUCAAAGCAAAACUGUUUCAACACUCACAGAUGAAUACCUCUUCUCCUUUUUUGACCUCCUCACGUCCCUAUUUUAGGUGUGUUUAAAUAAAUGGAGAAACGUAUUGUAUGCAAUGCAUACUUUUAGGUACACACUAAUAGUAUGUAUACAUUGAAAUACUAUUUAAUAGAAAGGCAAGCACCAUCUGAAAAGCACAUAAGCCUAAUUGAUUCCAGACACAACCAGCCUGGGUUUUGUUUCGUCUUAUUCCAACUUUCUGACCUUGUAAAAAUUAUCUUGAUUGUGUUGUACCAAAACAAGGCCAUGAUCUUGCAAAAACUACCACGUGUGCUAGUGCUGAGAAGUACCAAGUAAAGCACUGUGUGUGGAACAAGUGUCGACAACAUUAGGCCCCAAGUUCGUUUGUUUGUUUUCCUUUGCUUACAUCUAAUCAUGGUGAAGCAAUAGUCUCACUUCUGCUAAAAGCUGAACCUGGGGUUUCAUUUUUAAAGGAGGCGAAAAAUGUGUAGUAAAACUUACGGUUUGAGGUGAAUGAUAGGUUUAAAAUUCUUAGAGCAGUUCAAGCUACUGGGAUUUUUAUGGCAUUUAGACUAGGGUAAAGAACAGUGAGGGUUUAAAAAUAGUAUCGCCCGUAAUUUUUUCAGUACUUGGGGGGGGGGGGGGGUGUAUAGUGGUAUCUUUGUUUUUCAGAAGAUUGUUUCUAGGGAUUGGUAGGAAAGUUUAAGGACUUACUGGCUUUGAUGAUAACCCUUGCGUUACCAUUGUGACUUUGUAUAAACAUGUAAAAAAGACCUAGGACAGCAUAAAGUGUUAGAUGUGCUGCUGUCUUUGGCGCUGGAGAACUUCUGAGUGUAAGUAUAUUUUCUGCUUGACAAAAAUCCAAGGCCCACGUACACUGAUCCUUUUAUUGCAGUAACUGCUGCUGCUCCUAUUUGGGAACCUGCAGCUUGCUAGCCUUGAAUCUCUGUGAAGAGUUAUGACAGAGAAAUGUCUUUCCAGCGUGUUGAACUGAACAGAUGAUCCCUCUCUUUAUUUCUCUGAAGGCUCUCCCUUUGUUUUUUUCAGCAUCAAGAAUGAACUAUGUAUUUGUGCCUUUGUCAGCAAGGCUCCCGUGGGGCAAUCCUUGUAAGCACUGGGAUUGCCUGUUCUGUAGCAAGGAGGCUUAUAAAAAGCAAUUCCAGGUGGAAGUGGGCCUUUUCCUGCUCCUCCCUCUGUCCUGCUGCAAUUUCCUUGUCAUCCAGGCCCUGAGAACUGCCUGCCUUUCAGACUAAGCUGCAAAUGUAAAAGAGUUGUGGUCAGUUGAUCAAGAUAGUAGAAUAUCUACCUUUACUUAUGUUGAUUCAUUGAUGUUCUGGGGAGUUUCCUUGUAUAUAACGUAGCACAUCAACUUACAGUGGUCAUACAACAGCAAAUGUAACUUAAAAAAUUAAGCCUACCUCUAAAGAAAAUGAGCAGGUUUUAUGCAUCAUUAAAUUUCAUUUCUAAGAAGUUGGCAUCAGUACGGCUGCCAUCGUGUUUGGGCUUUUUAGCUCCCUUGCCAACAUUUCUUAUUUCCCUACAGAAUGCAAGGUGGACGUGGUGUGUGGCAAGUUAUUUAUUACAAUUAAAAAAUGACAGCAUCUGCUGUGUUCUGACUCAAAAGUCAUGUUGAUAACCUACUCCACCAAAGAUUGAACGAUGAAUCGUGCUAACGUUGUAUCUGUUGUCUUUACCUUCUAGCAACUGUUUUAUAACUUUUCUGCUAAGUUGUAGAUAAACUUCAGGUAAAACCCUGCCACCUCAGAAGCCGUGAUAUAAUCUCUGCUCUGAGUGCAAAAAAUACGGCAUGUUCUGGCUUGCAUUUUUUUAAGAGAGAGAACAGUUGGUCCAUUGCUUAAAAGUUGUGCCAUUCAGUGCAGCGCUGCUUAAGUGUGCGGCCCACGAAGUGUGACCUGUGGCGUUAUGGAUGCAGUGCACAUCCCCUCCCUCCUCUGCAACCACAGGAUGAAGACAUGAGGUCUUUCUGGCUUAACUGAAAUAAGCAAGUUCUGUUCAUCUGCCAAGAAUGUACAAGUAAAUAUAAUGAUUGUGUAAGUUGCUUGUAAUACCUAAAGUAUAAACAAACGUGUGCAUAGGAAAGGUAAGUUUCUGGCAGGUUUCCAGGGGAGUUCCCUCAGUGCUGCAGAACUGAGGCAUUCCUCUUUAAGGAUAAGACAAAUGUUAGAUAUUUAUGCAAGACGGAAACAGAAAGGGUGCAGGAUGGAGGGAUACAAAGUGAGGUGUCUGCUGGUGGUGGUGGUACUUUUAAAGCUGACCUGUGGCUCUAGAUUUAUUUCCUCACGAUUGGCACUGAGUGAUAUUGAACACCUCUACUUUCAAAUCACGUCAGCACAAAUGACAAGUACGCAGCAUCUCGUGGAAUUGGAUCUAGCGUGUCCCCUACGAAAUGUAUGCAUGAAGUGAGGUGUUCCUUUACCUGUGAGUUGGUAUUACCAGAGUACAUUUUGUUAAAUUCAGUUUUAGUAUUUGUAGGGUUCAAUUAAUGGUGCGUUGUUCUAAAUACUUGGAUGAUCAAACUCUACUUAGCCAGGCAGUUGUUUCUUUUCUUGCAGUGAGCUGCUGCGCAAGGGAUACGCACUCGGCUGGAUUGUGAGAAACUGUGAAGAUCACACAAGUAAGUUUAAGUCCUUACAUGCUUGCUGACUGUAUCUCACACUUCUUGCAUGUCCCAGUACCCACAAUAAUUAUUGCAGGCUACAGCGUGAGUGCGUUACUCUUUUCCUCCAUAUUAUGCUGUUUCCAUAGAGUAUUGAUUCAUAUUCAGAGUUUUGGUCCUUCCCUUUAAGCGUUUUGUCCCAGUGAAAUGAAGACCACAGCUGGCAACUCCGCUACUCUGUUGCAGCAGAAGUCUUCCAUAAGCUUUAAACUUAACUAUGUAUGAGAGCGUUUUCUAGGGGUGGGGCUGAAAUGUCGGAAGGAACAAUUUAUUUUACUUUUUCUCUGUAUAAAUGUACAGUGAUUUUAUGUAUGUCCCUGUGUCAUUCUGAAACCAAAUUUUCCAUGCACACCUUUCUGGAGAGAUAAAGGACAAGAUAGGGAAAGAGACAGAAGAGACGUUGCCAAUUACUUUGCUGUAAGGCACCAAGAUACUACUGUGAUAAAUCCGCUGUAAGGAAACACAAAGAAUAGUAUGGAUUGAUGUAAUGCAGAGCAUGUUUAUGAAACGUCUCAAUUACACCAAGCCGGGAGGAUGGUGACCACUAUGGAUGAUCAGAAAUCAAAAUGAACUUAGUAAAUGCAAAAGUGAAAACAAUCGUCAGUUUCUUGGAGAAAUCAAGGUAGAUGGUAAAUGGGGAGUUUGUAGAGAAUCACUAACAAAAUAGCAAUGGACAAUGCGCUGCUUUUGCAAAAUGCAAUGCUCUCUUAGGAUUUAUCAAUAGGUGGCAUAUGUAAGUCAUAGUGAAAGAUGUAAAGAUGAUUCAACUAAGAGCCGGUAAGGCCUCAACUGCAGUACUGCCUUUGGUUUCAUGUUCUGUGCUGAAAAAUAAAGUACAGGACAGGGCAAGAAAACAUAAGAGAUGUAGAAUAUAAAAGGAAAUGGUGAAGGAAGGGAGGAUGUUGAGCCUGAAAAGUGAUUUUUAGAGGGAAUUGGAUAAAUUUUCCAAUGUGCAAAAGGUUGAAAGAGGUUUGAUCAACUGUUUUUGAAUGCUGAGGGAAAGAUGAGAUAAAUCAGAUCUGUACAGAGGGAAAAUGUCUCAGAUUGGAUAUUAGGAAGGUGGGAGGAUGAUUUAAAUUGGGUAUUAGGAGAGUGGCGGGGAGAUGCAACAACAACUUUUAAAUCGUUAUAGUGAAAUACCAGAACAAGCUACUUAGGAAGUUCGGGUAUCUGCUUCACGGAGGGUUUCUAAGAACAGGUUAGACAAACAUCUGUUGGUGACUGUCUGGGGCUACUUUAUCCUGUCUUUGUGCGGCCAGGGGACACCAGAUGGUCUCUUCAGAUCCCUCUCAGUCCUCUUCCUAGAAGUUUACCAAGCAUGGAGGGGAGUGGACCUGAGCUUAAUGAGAAAAUGGUAUCAUCCCAUUAGUUGAUCCUCUUUCAGAAUAGAAAAAGAAUCAGAGAGAAACCACAUCUAACUUAACUAUUCCACAGAAGGCACAAGUUAUUCAGUACCUGCUCUGAAAAAUCUUGUCUUGAAGGAAAGCUGAAUGGGAACGUGAAAGUCAGCGCCUCGCUUCCUUGGCAGGUGAACUCUGCGACUGCAGCGGCGUUUCCCUCCCUCCCUGCCUCCCCUGGGCUGCGCGUUGGGAAGUUCCAGUGAAAUAUAGCUGCUGUGGAAAGUCCUGCUCACAGUGAGGAGACGUGACCUCUCGGCGAGUCAGAUCCAAUUUUACAGGCGGCUCUGAGUCAGGGUGGAGCCUGUGAACUGAACUUUUUAUUUAAGAAGGAAGUGAUGUUGGUGGCAGCUUGUGUUGCUAAGCAGAUGAGUUGCUGUAUUUUUAUGUCAGCUGAUAGUUUCGUCGGGUGUGUGACUUCAUUCUUAGAUAUGAAGCCUUCCAUUUAUUAAGGACAAAGGUCAGAAAUUGUCAGCGCUGUGAUAGCUGUGUCUCUCCAUAUAAGAAGAGGCACGUUCUACUGAGCCGCCAAAGAUGGAAAUGGGAGCCCUUAAUGCUGCUUCUGCACGGUGAAAACAAAACCGACCGUGAAACUGUCAGUUCAUGUCACAGUCCAAGAGCAAACGUCCUCACGAGCAGGGAUGCUGUGGAGUAGGUCAGUUCCCUGGUGUUGCUCCAUUUUUACAAGAACUCGCUACUGUUCCUGGUUAAAGAGGUGGCCUGUGUAACCGAGUGUCUUCAGUAGUAAUGGGAGCUGGGGGGCUGAGGUGAGCGGUCAGGCGCUGGCCUGUUAAAUCAGAAUUAGGAUGGAAAGCUAAGCGAUCCUGCCUCUUACUUUGGUAAACUAAGCAGUGAGUCUGUUUGGGAAGGAGAGCGAGUUGUUUAUCACCUGUGCCGCUGGCACUUCAGUGGGUGCUGCCUUCCAGCUGUACAGAUAGUCACGGGUAAGUGGCAGUACCCGGGCAGUGCGUCUGAAAGACUUGAGGGGGAGAAUGCCGGCAGGUUCGGGGCAGCUGCCCACAACUAUGUGCGUACCCACGCAACCCACAGUGACGAGUCACGGUGUGCUGUCUUGGGUGGCAUUUCCACCUACCUAUUCCCUCCUUAAAGUCUUUGGUUACGUCCUUAAGUUAGCCUUGAGAGAGCUACAUGUUAUCCUUGUUCUGAGAGAGAUUACUGUAUCAGAAAACUUCCACAGAAAAGGAUGAAUUUUGGGAGUAGUAUUAAUUCUUCUUCUUGUUGUUGAAUUCCCAAGGGUGAGGCGGGGGGAACGCCGAUGUCCCUCAGAGAGCUUUGCUCCCGUAAGGCCUGGCAGGUGAGUGGCAUCUGGACACGAGCUGCCAGAGCUUGCUGCCCCUCUGCUUUUCUGGUUCAGUUCCUCAGCUGAGGAGUUCCCUGCCACAGAAGUGGCUGUUUGGGCCAGUUCCAGCUUUUGUCACUCCAGCUGGCCUGAGUUUCAAGAAAAAAAAAAACCAAACAAAAAAAACCCCAACCCACUCAAGUGUCUACCCUGGCUUGCCCUCUGUUCCCUUAGCUUUCUGGUGCCACAGGGUGGCUCCUUGUAGCACUUGUAUUUCUAACGCUUUUAGCUUUUCAGCUGAAAUCGUUAAGGUUGUUCUUUCUGAUAGGAGUCUACUGCUUCCUGGUACUAACCAAAAUCCAUGUGUUCUCGGUAUUUCAGCGUGCUGUACGUUGGUGAACAAUUUCUUCUAAAAAAGGAGUAUUACUUUAGCGUAUGGCACAUCAUUGUCGUCUGUACCCUUCUGGCCACUUCACCCUCUCAGUCUCAUGUGCUUCCAUUGCUGCCUUAUUUUUGAGAAACUUUGAGUAAAACUGGCACUUGUGAAAGAAAAAGAAACCGUUUGUCUUUUUCGCUUCAUUUGGCCGAAACAAUGUUCAGAGAUGAAUAAAACGUGAGUGUGUGUCAGGGUCGUGUGAUUCCAGAGCCACUUCGCACCAAUCGUGGGACAAAACAUGAUGCCUUAGCUCGUCUGAGGCCGCGAAAUGGCAUCCGGAAUACCAAGCCUGAAGUGUUUGGAGGGCAGCUACUCCAAGCACAAGCUUGGGUUCCUGGUGCAGUUCCGCAUCUCUCCUUGCACAAACAGAAGUAAAAGAAAGGCUGUGAGAUGAGAGGUUGUUGAGGUUUGGGUACAUCUGUGCAGAAUUUCCUUGGGAGCUGCAAGUUCCUUCAUCAAAGCAAAAAAGCCUUUUGGAAGAAGGCAGCUGGAGGGUAUGGCACAGGCACAGGUCCUUCCUGUGGGCACCGAUCCACGGUUUGGACCAUUGGAGUGCUGAGCAGGCGGAUGUAGUUAAGAGGGCUUUUCUCAAGCAGGGUGGGUUGCUGCGAGCUCUCUGCACAGUCCUCGGCAUUAGCAGCUCUCAGACAAGCCACGUAGCUGGACUGGGUUGUCGGGAACGAGGCGCAGAGUGCUGAGGCCUUGUGGCCCCAAAGCCUACCUGUGCACGUCUCGCGUGGGAGUCAGCACCGUGAGGUGUCACCUGCUGCCUUUGGAAGUGACAACAUCUGGACCUUAAGACCACAUUUCACUGUACCUGCCUGUUAAAACAGAUGCUGGUUCUUCAAAGUCUGCUGAAUAAAUAAGCUUCCUUUGUAUCUUCAUGUGAUACUAAAUCAUUUGCAUUUUGUAAUACUGCUGUUUUAAAACGGAUGUAAAUGCUA